CGGACGAACGCUGGCGGCGUGCCUAACACAUGCAAGUCGAACGGACGAGAUGGCUUCGGCCAUCGAGUUAGUGGCGGACGGGUGAGUAACGCGUGAGCAACCUGCCUCACAGAGGGGGAUAACACACGGAAACGUGUGCUAAUACCGCAUAAUUCAUACUUGUGGCAUCACGGGUAUGGCAAAGGAGCAAUCCGCUGUGAGAUGGGCUCGCGUCCGAUUAGAUAGUUGGCGGGGUAACGGCCCACCAAGUCUGCGAUCGGUAGCCGGACUGAGAGGUUGAUCGGCCACAUUGGGACUGAGACACGGCCCAGACUCCUACGGGAGGCAGCAGUAGGGAAUAUUGCGCAAUGGGCGGAAGCCUGACGCAGCGACGCCGCGUGAGCGAAGAAGGCCUUCGGGUCGUAAAGCUCUGUCCUUGGGGAAGAAGGCGAAAGCUUGACGGUACCCAAGAAGAAAGCCCCGGCUAACUACGUG
rnacentral:rRNA from 1 species